CAUGCGCUAAAACCCAAUCCCAAGUCGCAUAUUCAAGAGAACUGGAGAAUCUUGGACUUCUUCUCCCACCACCCAGAAAGUUUGAACAUGUUCACCUUCCUCUUGGAUGACAUUGGUAUUCCACAAGAUUACAGGCACAUGGAUGGCUCUGGUGUUAACACUUACACAUUGAUCAAUAAGGCUGGGAAGGCACAUUAUGUAAAAUUUCACUGGAAACCUACCUGUGGAGUGAAGUCCUUGUUAGAGGAUGAAGCCAUUAAGAUCGGGGGAGCUAAUCACAGCCACGCCACCCAAGAUCUAUAUGAUUCAAUUGCAGCUGGAAAUUAUCCUGAGUGGAAACUUUUUAUUCAGAUCAUAGACCCUGAUC
rnacentral:lncRNA from 1 species